rnacentral:rRNA from 1 species
GACUAACGCUGGCGGCACGCCUAACACAUGCAAGUCGCACGAGAAACUUCGUAGCAAUACGGGGCGGUAAAGUGGCGAACGGGUGAGUAAUGCAUGGGUGACCUGUCCUCAAGAUGGGAAUAACCUCGCGAAAGCGGUGCUAAUACCCAAUGCCAUUUCGGUCUUACGGGAUCGGGAUGAAAGAUAGCUGUUACAGGCUGUUACUUGAGGAGGGGCCCAUGUCCCANCAGCUAGUUGUAGGGUAACGGCCUACCAAGGCUAUGACGGGUAGCUGGUCUGAGAGGACGACCAGCCACACUGGCACUGAGACACGGGCCAGACUCCUACGGGAGGCAGCAGUGAGGAAUCUUGCGCAAUGGACGAAAGUCUGACGCAGCGAUG